UACGUAGGGUGCGAGCGUUAAUCGGAAUUACUGGGCGUAAAGCGUGCGCAGGCGGUUGUGCAAGACCGAUGUGAAAUCCCCGGGCUCAACCUGGGAAUGGCAUUGGUGACUGUACGGCUAGAGUGUGUCAGAGGGGGGGUAGAAUUCCACGUGUAGCAGUGAAAUGCGUAGAGAUGUGGAGGAAUACCGAUGGCGAAGGCAGCCCCCUGGGAUAACACUGACGCUCAUGCACGAAAGCGUGGGGAGCAAACAGG
rnacentral:rRNA from 1 species